rnacentral:tRNA from 1 species
AGGAUACGUGCCCGAAGAUAGGGGCCACUUUGA